UACGUAGGGGGCAAGCGUUGUUCGGAGUUACUGGGCGUAAAGGGUGCGUAGGCGGCUUUUUAAGUUUGGUGUGAAAUCUCCCGGCUCAACUGGGAGGGUGCGCCGAAUACUGAGAAGCUAGAGUGCGGUAGGGGAGACUGGAAUUCCUGGUGUAGCGGUGAAAUGCGCAGAUAUCAGGAGGAACACCGGUGGCGAAGGCGGGUCUCUGGGCCGUAACUGACGCUGAGGAGAGAAAGCGUGGGGAGCGAACAGG
rnacentral:rRNA from 1 species